rnacentral:rRNA from 1 species
AGUGAACGCUGGCGGUAGGCCUAACACAUGCAAGUCGAACGGCAGCACAGUAAGAGCUUGCUCUUACGGGUGGCGAGUGGCGGACGGGUGAGGAAUACAUCGGAAUCUACUUUUUCGUGGGGGAUAACGUAGGGAAACUUACGCUAAUACCGCAUACGACCUACGGGUGAAAGCAGGGGAUCUUCGGACCUUGCGCGAUUGAAUGAGCCGAUGUCGGAUUAGCUAGUUGGCGGGGUAAAGGCCCACCAAGGCGACGAUCCGUAGCUGGUCUGAGAGGAUGAUCAGCCACACUGGAACUGAGACACGGUCCAGACUCCUACGGGAGGCAGCAGUGGGGAAUAUUGGACAAUGGGCGUAAGUCUGAUCCAGCCAUACCGCGUGGGUGAAGAAGGCCUUCGGGUUGUAAAGCCCUUUUGUUGGGAAAGAAAAGCAGCAGGUUAAUACCCCGCUGUUCUGACGGUACCCAAAGAAUAAGCACCGGCUAACUUCGUG